rnacentral:rRNA from 1 species
GAUGAACGCUGGCGGCGUGCCUAAUACAUGCAGGUCGAGCGAACUGAUUAGAAGCUUGCUUCUAUGACGUUAGCGGCGGACGGGUGAGUAACACGUGGGCAACCUGCCUGUAAGACUGGGAUAACUUCGGGAAACCGAAGCUAAUACCGGAUAGGAUCUUCUCCUUCAUGGGAGAUGAUUGAAAGAUGGUUUCGGCUAUCACUUACAGAUGGGCCCGCGGUGCAUUAGCUAGUUGGUGAGGUAACGGCUCACCAAGGCAACGAUGAAUAGCCGACCUGAGAGGGUGAUCGGCCACACUGGGACUGAGACACGGCCCAGACUCCUACGGGAGGCAGCAGUAGGGAAUCUUCCGCAAUGGACGAAAGUCUGACGGAGCAACGCCGCGUGAGUGAUGAAGGCUUUCGGGUCGUAAAACUCUGUUGUUAGGGAAGAACAAGUACAAGAGUAACUGCUUGUACCUUGACGGUACCUAACCAGAAAGCCACGGCUAACUACGUGCCAGCCGCCGCAGUAA